CUAUUAUUUUCAGAUAUUCAAAAUAUGUUUCUCUUUUGCAAUUUACAUUAUUACAUUCCACUUAUGUUUUCAUUGAAAAAUGCCUCUUUUUUUCAAGCUGGCAUUGGAAUCUUGACCCUCAGCUUCCUCAUUUUCUUCCUCGUCUUCACACUUCUUCUGUAAUGCAGGCCUGAGCCCACAGACCUGACCAUUUAUCACCUGGUCUUCAUCCACAUAGUGAUCCUCCUUACUCUGGUGUCAUUGUUGUCUCCAGGUCUGCCUGAGUCACUGUAUUUUCAGAAUGACUUCAAGUGUAAAGGAUUUUUUUUACCUGAACAAGAUGAUGAGAAGUUUCUCCAUCUGCACCACCUGCUUCCUGAGUGUGCUUCAGACCAUAAUCAUCAGCCCCAGAAGCUCUUGGUUGGUGAGGUUUAACCAUAAAUCCACCAUUUUCACCUGUCAUUUCUUGUUGUUUUUACAUUUUCUCAGUUUUUUUUUUUUUCAGUAGUAAUCUCAUCUUGUGCACUGUGGGGUCUUCUAAUGUGACCCUGAGCAAUCUUCUGCAUACCAGUAAAGACUGUUCACUUUUCCACCAUGAACUCCAUCAUCAGAAGACUGUUUCUUACUCUGUUUCUUACUCCAGAUAUGUUUUUCUUAUAGGAACAAUGCUGCUUUCAAGUGCAUACAGAGUGGUCCUUUUGUUCAGGCACCAGAAGAAAUUCUGAUACUUUCACAGCACCAGCCUCUCCCCAAGACCUUCCCCAGAGAAAAGUGCCACUCAGACCAUCCUGCUGCUAGUGAGUUUCUUUGUGGUCAUCUACUGGGUCGAUUUCAUCAUCUCAUGCACCUCAACCUCGCUAUGGGCAUAUGACCCUGUUGUCCUGGGUGUCCAGAGGCUUGUCAGUCUUUUGGUGCUACUCAGAUCUGAUAAAAGGAUAAUCAUUGUGACACAAACUGUGAGACAGAGGGUUAACAAGUUAUUUUUAUUGAAA
rnacentral:lncRNA from 1 species